UAGGGAAUCUUCGGCAAUGGGGGGAACCCUGACCGAGCAACGCCGCGUGAGUGAAGAAGGUUUUCGGAUCGUAAAGCUCUGUUGUUAAGGAAGAACGAGUGUGAGAAUGGAAAGUUCAUACUGUGACGGUACUUAACCAGAAAGGGACGGCUAACUACGUGCCAGCAGCCGCGGUAAUACGUAGGUCCCGAGCGUUGUCCGGAUUUAUUGGGCGUAAAGCGAGCGCAGGCGGUUAGAUAAGUCUGAAGUUAAAGGCAGUGGCUCAACCAUUGUAGGCUUUGGAAACUGUUUAACGAGAGUGCAGAAGGGGAGAGUAGAUUUCCGUGUGUAGCGGUGAAAUGCGUAGAUAUAUGGAGGAACACCGGUGGAGAAAGCGGCUCUCUGGUCUGUAACUGACGCUGGGGCUCGAAAGCGUGGGGAGCGAACAGG
rnacentral:rRNA from 1 species